ACAGCCAUAUCAUAGUGAAACACCAAUCCAUGUAAGAUCACCAAAGUUAAACAACAUCAAGUUUGGUCAGUACUUAGAUGGGUGACCUCUUGGGAAUACCAAGUGCUGUAAG